rnacentral:rRNA from 1 species
GACGAACGCUGGCGGCGUGCCUAAUACAUGCAAGUCGAGCGAAGCGGCGGAUGGGUGAGUAACGCGUGGGUAACCUGCCCUUAAGUCUGGGAUAACAUUUGGAAACAGAUGCUAAUACCGGAUACUAAAGGCUGGAUCUGCGAUGCAUUAGCUAGUUGGUAAGGGAACGGCUUACCAAGGCGAUGAUGCAUAGCCGAUUUGAGAGCAUGAUCGGCCACAUUGAGACGGAGACACGGCCCUAACUCCUCAAGGAGGCAGCAGUAGGUAAUCUUCCACAGUGGACGAAAGUCAGAUGGAGCAACGCCGCGUGAGUGAAGAAGGUUUUCGGAUCGUAAAGCUCUGUUGUUGGUGAAGCGGUAAUCAACCAGAAAGUCACUGCUAACUACGUGCCAGCAGCCGCGGUAAUAC